rnacentral:lncRNA from 1 species
AUAAACCUUGAGUUGCCUGUCAAGUAGGAAUUCCCCAUCUCAAGUUUCUGAAUUUUAUACUAGAAUUAUUUUAAACAUAUGUGGUUAUAAGCUUAUCAGAUUUCCAGAAAUGAACCUUCUAUAAAAAUCACACUGGGCCCCUCAGCUGUGUUUUCUUCCAUUAUUUAUAGACAAAUUAAAAACAAAUGUUUUUUUCAAAAAAAUACAAUGAACUGAAAACAGCUGUCAGGAUGUGCUUUUUCUCUAGAAUUCAUCUGUAAUACGGAAGUGUAGUAAACCAGCACUUAAGUCUCUUGAAAUCAUUCCAUAUUUAAUGGUUUUAGCAUUAAUUCAGAGGUAAGUAUUAAUGCUUGCUGUAACAAGACCUAAGUGGCUCAUUUAACUCAGUGAAGAUUCUGAUUAAAGCAAGGGACAUGGGGCAAAAUGCAAAUAUUUCAAUUUGGAGUGUCUUAGUUGCAAAUAUAUUUUACAAAGAAGAGACUUUUUGAAAAUUCAUUUGAAGUGUUUUAAUAAUUAUUAUAGAGAUGCUUCUGGACAUUUCUCUCAAUAGCUACUGAAGCCUGGAGUGAAUGCCUGACCACUAUACAAGAUCGCAGAAAAGGUGUUGAUCCUGAGUGCUUUGUUAAAAACAUUCUGCAUGCUGACCUCCGUCUCAGUGUUUGCUUCCUGGGGAAACCUGAAACAGGACUCGAUGCUAGAAGCUAUCCAGAAGAACCAGAUUGGCCACUGUCCUUGCCAGAAGAUCCGAUCUCCUGUCUAUGGCCACCACCUAACACUGCUCACUUCUACAUCUAAACCUCAGAGUGCGAGCCCUGUGAAAACGAGAACCUCAUCUGUCUCCUUCACCACUGGAACUCCAGCAUCCAGAAUAGUCCCUGGACCUGAUGAGGUAUUCCAAAAAUAUUAG